UGGGGAAUAUUGGACAAUGGGCGCAAGCCUGAUCCAGCCAUGCCGCGUGAGUGAUGAAGGCCCUAGGGUUGUAAAGCUCUUUCACCGGUGAAGAUAAUGACGGUAACCGGAGAAGAAGCCCCGUCUAACUUCGUGCCAGCAGCCGCGGUAAUACGAAGGGGGCUAGCGUUGUUCGGAUUUACUGGGCGUAAAGCGCACGUAGGCGGACUUUUAAGUCAGGGGUGAAAUCCCGGGGCUCAACCCCGGAACUGCCUUUGAUACUGGAAGUCUUGAGUAUGGUAGAGGUGAGUGGAAUUCCGAGUGUAGAGGUGAAAUUCGUAGAUAUUCGGAGGAACACCAGUGGCGAAGGCGGCUCACUGGACCAUUACUGACGCUGAGGUGCGAAAGCGUGGGGAGCAAACAGG
rnacentral:rRNA from 1 species